CUGUUUUGUAGGAGCCGAUCUUAAUUAUUCAUAUUAAUUCAAAGUAGCAGUAAUAAUUGUAUAUUUCCUUUUAGGGUCCAGGUGACAUUUCUGGUGGAUGUCGCUGUAGAGUUAAUGCUAAACCUUGCCAUCCAGACUGUAAUAAUUGUCAUUAAGACUCCGUGCCUAGUAUCAUCUAGCAGCAGUGAGGAAUAUUUUUAUGAUAAAUGUGUAUACUAUAUAUUGCUGUGUAUUUUUAACCAAAUAAAUAUUUU
rnacentral:lncRNA from 1 species